rnacentral:rRNA from 1 species
AGCGUACACGGUGGAUGCCCUGGCAGUCAGAGGCGAUGAAGGACGUGCUAAUCUGCGAAAAGCGCCGGCGAGGUGAUAUGAACCCUUGACCCGGCGAUGUCCGAAUGGGGAAACCCAGUGCAAUCCGUUGCACUAUCGUUAACUGAAUACAUAGGUUAACGAGGCGAACCGGGGGAACUGAAACAUCUAAGUACCCCGAGGAAAAGAAAUCAACCGAGAUUCCCCCAGUAGCGGCGAGCGAACGGGGAGCAGCCCGGAGUCUGAAUCAGCUUGUGUGUUAGUGGAACGGUCUGGAAAGUCCGACGGUACAGGGUGAUAGUCCCGUACACGAAAAUGCACAGGUUGUGAACUCGAAGAGUAGGGCGGGACACGUGGUAUCCUGUCUGAAUAUGGGGGGACCAUCCUCCAAGGCUAAAUACUCCUGACUGACCGAUAGUGAACCAGUACCGUGAGGGAAAGGCGAAAAGAACCCCGGCGAGGGGAGUGAAAAAGAACCUGAAACCGUGUACGUACAAGCAGUGGGAGCCUCUUUAUGGGGUGACUGCGUACCUUUUGUAUAAUGGGUCAGCGACUUAUAUUCUGUAGCAAGGUUAACCGUAUAGGGGAGCCGAAGGGAAACCGAGUCUUAACUGGGCGUUAAGUUGCAGGGUAUAGACCCGAAACCCGGUGAUCUAGCCAUGGGCAGGUUGAAGGUUGGGUAACACUAACUGGAGGACCGAACCGACUAAUGUUGAAAAAUUAGCGGAUGACCUGUGGCUGGGGGUGAAAGGCCAAUCAAACCGGGAGAUAGCUGGUUCUCCCCGAAAGCUAUUUAGGUAGCGCCUCGUGAACUCAUCUUCGGGGGUAGAGCACUGUUUCGGCUAGGGGGCCAUCCCGGCUUACCAACCCGAUGCAAACUACGAAUACCGAAGAAUGUUAUCACGGGAGACACACGGCGGGUGCUAACGUCCGUCGUGAAGAGGGAAACAACCCAGACCGCCAGCUAAGGUCCCAAAGUCAUGGUUAAGUGGGAAACGAUGUGGGAAGGCACAGACAGCCAGGAUGUUGGCUUAGAAGCAGCCAUCAUUUAAAGAAAGCGUAAUAGCUCACUGGUCGAGUCGGCCUGCGCGGAAGAUGUAACGGGGCUAAACCAUGCACCGAAGCUGCGGCAGCGACACUAUGUGUUGUUGGGUAGGGGAGCGUUCUGUAAGCCGUUGAAGGUGUGCUGUGAGGCAUGCUGGAGGUAUCAGAAGUGCGAAUGCUGACAUAAGUAACGAUAAAGCGGGUGAAAAGCCCGCUCGCCGGAAGACCAAGGGUUCCUGUCCAACGUUAAUCGGGGCAGGGUGAGUCGACCCCUAAGGCGAGGCCGAAAGGCGUAGUCGAUGGGAAACAGGUUAAUAUUCCUGUACUUGGUGUUACUGCGAAGGGGGGACGGAGAAGGCUAUGUCAGCCGGGCGACGGUUGUCCCGGUUUAAGCAUGUAGGCGGAGGUUCCAGGUAAAUCCGGUACCUUUUAACGCUGAGGUGUGAUGACGAGGCACUACGGUGCUGAAGUGAUAAAUGCCCUGCUUCCAGGAAAAGCCUCUAAGCAUCAGGUAACACGAAAUCGUACCCCAAACCGACACAGGUGGUCAGGUAGAGAAUACCAAGGCGCUUGAGAGAACUCGGGUGAAGGAACUAGGCAAAAUGGUGCCGUAACUUCGGGAGAAGGCACGCUGAUGUGUAGGUGAAGCCCCUGCGGGCGGAGCUGAAAUCAGUCGAAGAUACCAGCUGGCUGCAACUGUUUAUUAAAAACACAGCACUGUGCAAACACGAAAGUGGACGUAUACGGUGUGACGCCUGCCCGGUGCCGGAAGGUUAAUUGAUGGGGUUAGCGGCAACGCGAAGCUCUUGAUCGAAGCCCCGGUAAACGGCGGCCGUAACUAUAACGGUCCUAAGGUAGCGAAAUUCCUUGUCGGGUAAGUUCCGACCUGCACGAAUGGCGUAAUGAUGGCCAGGCUGUCUCCACCCGAGACUCAGUGAAAUUGAACUCGCUGUGAAGAUGCAGUGUACCCGCGGCAAGACGGAAAGACCCCGUGAACCUUUACUAUAGCUUGACACUGAACACUGGUCCUUGAUGUGUAGGAUAGGUGGGAGGCUUUGAAGCGUGGACGCCAGUCUGCGUGGAGCCAACCUUGAAAUACCACCCUUUAAUGGCUGGUGUUCUAACGUAGACCCGUAAUCCGGGUUGCGGACAGUGUCUGGUGGGUAGUUUGACUGGGGCGGUCUCCUCCCAAAGAGUAACGGAGGAGCACGAAGGUUGGCUAAUCCUGGUCGGACAUCAGGAGGUUAGUGCAAUGGCAUAAGCCAGCUUGACUGCGAGCGUGACGGCGCGAGCAGGUGCGAAAGCAGGUCAUAGUGAUCCGGUGGUUCUGAAUGGAAGGGCCAUCGCUCAACGGAUAAAAGGUACUCCGGGGAUAACAGGCUGAUACCGCCCAAGAGUUCAUAUCGACGGCGGUGUUUGGCACCUCGAUGUCGGCUCAUCACAUCCUGGGGCUGAAGUAGGUCCCAAGGGUAUGGCUGUUCGCCAUUUAAAGUGGUACGCGAGCUGGGUUUAGAACGUCGUGAGACAGUUCGGUCCCUAUCUGCCGUGGGCGCUGGAGAAUUGAGGGGGGCUGCUCCUAGUACGAGAGGACCGGAGUGGACGCAUCACUGGUGUUCGGGUUGUCAUGCCAAUGGCACUGCCCGGUAGCUAAAUGCGGAAGAGAUAAGUGCUGAAAGCAUCUAAGCACGAAACUUGCCCCGAGAUGAGUUCU